ensembl:misc_RNA 7SK 7SK RNA
CAAUGUGAGGGUGAUCUGGCUGCGACAUCUGUCACCCCAUUGAUUGCCAGGGUUGAUUUAGCUAAUCUCCCUGGCUAGGCGGGUGUCCUCUUCCUCCCUCACUGCUCCAUGUGCGUUCCUCCCUUAGCUGCGAGCUCGGUCGACCUUCCCAGAAUAGAGGCGAACUGGUCUUCGGUCAAGGGUAUAUGAGUAGCUGGGCUCCCCUGCUAGAAACUCCAAACAAGCUCUCAAGAUUCUUAAUAUCUGACAUACGUUCAUUUUUGUUUCAUACAAUUGGUGAAACAAGUCAAAAAGGAAGCACAGAUUCUAAAGAAUGAAAAGA